GUUCAUAACUCUUGACCACCCACUUCCUGUUUUCCUUUGUUAUAUGCAACAGUGAAUAUAGGUAUUUCUGGGAAGGUCACUGCUAGAGGUGACAACUCCGGCAACCACGGAGCAUGUAAAGCUUUUUAAAAAGAGGGGAUUGGUUGUAAAAUGGUGCCACGUGUUGAACAUCUGGCUAACAUGUGUAUCAGACCUUCUGAAGUGGUUCGACUGAUCAUAUAGAAAUGUUUAUUUGCCUCCUGGGUGCAAUUACACGUUCCCUUCUUUUUUUUUUUUUUUUAAAAAGUCUAUCACUCAUAUCUGGAUACAGACCUGAUACAUAAGACACAUUAAAGCAGGGUCAUAAUCCUAAACCGCAAAAACGACUAGCUGGUGUGAUCUGAACAGACUGUGUAGUGAUCAGUCUAUAAUACAAAUGUCCAACAGUGAGAAAAAACACAAAUGUAGCUUUAAGAGCUUAUAGCUGAAAAUGUUAACACCCAUAAGUAAUUGUUUUGAGGGUGAAAAAUAUAUUUAUAUAAAAUUAUAUGGUGAUGUUUUCUCUGAUUUUGGAAGCAUUUUUGGAAGGAGUCUCCAAUGACAGCACUUUCUCACGUGUCUUAAAACACGGGAAAAUCAUCAGAACAGACAGCUUUGCGGUUUCUCAUUAACAUGACAACCUGCGGUUUUUUUUGUCUAAUUAACUUAGAGUGUAAAUAAAAAGACCUUAAUGAGGGAACAACUGUUUAUAAUUGCUACAACGUACACCCAUCUGCCAUAACAUUAAAACCAGCUGCCUAAGGUUUUGUAGGUCCAACUUAUGCCGCCAAAACUACUGAAGGUUGAGACAUCUGAAGGUGUGCUGUGGUAUCUGGCACCAAGACGUUAACAGCAGAUCCACUAGGUCCUGUGAGUUGCGAGGUGAGGCCUCCAAGGAUCAGACUUGUUUGUCCAACACGUCCCAGAGAUGCUCAAUCGGAUUGAGAUCUGGGAAAUCUGGAGGCCAAGUCAACACCUUGAACUCUGUCAUGUUCCUCAAACCAUUCCUGAACAAUAUCCUGCUGAAAGAGACCACUGUCAUUAGGAAAUACCGUUGUCAUGAAAUGGUGUACUUGGGCUGCAACAAUAUUUAGGUAGGUGGAACGUGUCAAAGUAACAUCCACAUGAAUGUCAGGACCCAAGGUUUCCCAGCAGCGCAUUGCCCGGAGCAUCACAGUGCCUCCACUGGCUUGCCUUCUUCCCAUAGUGCAUCCUGAUGCCAUCAUUUACCCAGGUAAGUUACGCACACGCACCCAGCCAUCCACAUGAUGUAAAAGACAACGUGAUUCAUCAGACCAGGUCACCUUCUUCCAUUGCUCAAUGGUCCAGUUCUGAUGCUCACGAGCACAUUGUAGUGGACAGGGGUCAGCAUGGGCUCUCUGACCAGUCCCAGGCUACUAACGCAGCAAGCUGUGACACACAGACUGUGUGUUCUGGCAUUCAAUGGCAUGUGCUCUGCCUACCGCCGAAAGUGCCUACAAUGAGCAUGUGGGCAUCUAAACUUCUUUUACAUCAUGUGGAUGGCUGGGUGUGUGUUUGUGUGUGUGUUGCUUACCUGAGGAAGACAUUAAGCCAGCAGAGGAAGUGGGCUGCUCUGGGAAACCUUGGGUCCUGGCAUUCAUGUGGAUGUUACUUUGACACAUACCACCUACCUAAACACUGCUGCAGAUCAAGUACACCAAUUUGUGACAAUGGUGUUCCCUAACGUCAGUGGACUCUUUCAGCAGGAUAAUGCACUAACUGUUGAGGAAUGGUUUGAGGAACAUAACAAAGAGUUCAAGGUGUUGUUGACUUGGCCUCCAAACUCAAGCCGAUUGAGCAUCUGUGGGAUGUGUUGGACAAAUAAGUCUGAUCAAUGGAGGUCCUGCCUCACAACUUUCAACACUUAAAGAAUCUGCUGUUAACGUCUUGGUGCCAGACACCAUAGCACAACUUCAGAGGUCUCGUGGAGUCCAUGCCUCGACGAGUCAGAACUGUUUUGGUGGCACAAGGUGCAUCUACACGGUAUUAGGCAGCUGGUUUUACCGUUAUGGCCGAUCAGUGUAAACAUAAACAUAAUAACAAACGAAUCGACUGUACGCGUCUUUCUUUAAUAAACGAACUUUGGGAUGGCAACACAUUUCCUAGAAAAUAAUGAGUUUUAUCCUUCACUGCUUUUGCAUACAUGAUCAAAUUAAAAUACAUAAAAUUGUUCUGGUGCUGCUAUCCUACAGUCAGAGCAGCACUUCAGUCCAGUAUGUGAUAGUCACACAAUGCUAUUAUAAUAAUAAUAAUUAUUAUUAUUAUUAUUAUUGUUUUGGGGGUUUUUUUUAGGACAAAAGUACAUUAUAGAUCUUUAUGUUGCCUUAUGAAUUGGACAUCCUUUAAAUCUGGCCAAAAUCAAUGCCUACAUGUGUGGACUCCUGCUGAACACUGACUAUAUUUCAAAAGCGUCCAUGAUAACAAUACUACGCACAUCACCGCUUUAUGUAUUAGUGUUUAUAAUAAUAAUAAUAAUAAUAAUAAUAAUAAUAAUGAAUUUUAUUUCUAAUGCGCUUUUCUCAUACCCAGGGCGUGUGAAAGGUGAAAGACUUGCUUCUAUUAAAAAACGUCCAACAUAAACUUUAUUUCAGAGAUGUAAUACACGGUACACCUCACAAUAAUCAGUAACCAACACACACACACACACACACACACACACACACACACACACACACACACACUUUUAAUCCUAGUCUUAAACCACACCCAAAAGUGCACACUUUUCAGGAGUGUGUAAGGCCUGCAGCAACAUGUUAUUUCAACCAAACACAACAACAAAAAUAAUAAUAAUAAUAAUAAUAAUAAUAAACACCAUCCUUCUGUCUUGUUUUACCUUUUUUGGGACAUUAUUUCGAUAUAAAACCUACACAUUAACUUACAUUUGAGAUAAAAGAUUUGCAUUCAUUAAUUAAAAUAAAAUAAUAAGAUCUCUUAUUAAACCUGGACAAAUACUAAUUUAAUCUUCUUAAAUGCCCCCAUUAUUAUUAAACACUAUUAGUUAGGAGCAACAUCUGGGGCAUAUGAAUAAAACUUAGAGCACUACAUGCGCUUAUGAUCCUAAACCAUUACAUUACUGCUUCAACUCAACAACACACAAUGUGUUUAAUCCUAUUUAAGACCUAUUACACUUACACAGACUCUUCUUUUAAAACCCAGCUAUGGGUUUUUACUGCUGGAAAGAGAUUUCCAGUAAAAGGUAUUUCCUGCUCCGCUUCUCUGAGUAGAAAUCCUUUCAUCUCUGUCUGCUCUGUAUUACACGCUCUUCUCAUCGGAAAUAUCCAAAACACUAUCCCUGUCUUUCGGUUACGCUUCUCUUUUUUUGGUUUGUUUGUUUGUUUUGGGGUUGUUGUUUUUUUAACUUACCGCUUUUCUUCAAUUUCCUUCCAACCUCUGCAAAAAGCGAAAAGAAAAUGAACAGACUGGGCUGUAACCACUGAACGUUGAAAAUGGUCGAAACGUUGGCGAGAGGUGUAGUUUUUCCCACCCGUAUUCCCACCCGACUCCACCCCCACCUUGUGCUGAACGACCGACUUUCUGAACUGCUAGUGGCUGCUAGUGUCAACGCACGAUGAGUUUAUUGGAUGGCCAACAAAAAAACAGCCUGUUAGAGAAAGAAAGGCGGGAUUAUAUAAUAUGGGUGUGUUUUAAAAAAUUGGAAAAAAAACGAACGCCAGCUGGGAAACAUUCCCGCAGCUUACACGCUUCCGGUUUUCCUACUUUCAUUCCAACUUCCGGGUUACAGAGUCAUAGCGCCCCCUCUGACGAAAAACAUGAGUGAAAAUAAGUAUUUCUGAAAUAGAAAAAAAAAAUCUGGUACCACUUUAUCCUGGUCUGGGUUGUGGUAGAUCCAUAGCCUAUCCCAGGAACCAUGUGUGCGAGGUGGAAACACACCCUGGAUGAAAUGCUAGUCCAUGGGCCCUCCAUACCUAGGGGCAGUUUACAGUCGCCAGUCUAAAGAACCCAGAGGAAACCCAUGAGGACCCUGGGAGAACACGGUCCCGGGGAGCCUGUCCCAGGGGACUCGGGGCACAAGGCGGGGACGCCCUGGACGGAGGGCACAAUUGCACACCAAUUCACACAAUACGGACAAUUUAGAGAUGCCAAUCAGCCUACAACGCAUGUCUUUGGACUGAGAGAGGAAACCGGAGUACCCAGAGGAAACCCCUGAAACAUGGGGAGAACAUGCAAACUCCAAGUAUACAGGGCGAUGGUAGGAACUGAACUCCCAACCCUGGAGAUGUGAGGCAAACAUGCUAACCACUAAGCCACUUUGCCUCUGCCAAUAAA
ensembl:lncRNA